rnacentral:misc_RNA from 1 species
AACGACGGAUCUCUUGGUUCUGGCAUCAAUGAAUAACGCAGCGAAAUGCUAUAAGUAGUGUGAAUUGCAGAAUUCAGUGAAUCAUCGAAUCUUUGAACGCACAUUGCGCCCCUUGGUAUCCCGAGGGGCAUGCCUGUUCUAGCGUCCUUUCACCACUCAAGCCUGGCUUGGUGUUGGGCGACGUCCCCCUUUAGGGACGCGCCUCUGAACGCUCGGCGGCGUGGCACCGGCUUUAAGCGUAGCAGAAUCUUUCGCUUUGAAAGUCGGGGCCCCGUCUGCCGGAAGACCUACUCGCAAGGUUGACCUCGGAUCAGGUAGGGAUACCCGCUGAACUUAAGCAU